rnacentral:misc_RNA from 1 species
GCUGCCGAGGCCUCAGUGCAUGUGUAUAAAUAAAUGCUUGAUAUUGAUGCGUAAAGAAAACCAUUGUUAUUGCUGCUACCUGCAUUUAGAGUUUGGCGUUAGCGGAGCUUAGUUUAGCUCCCUAGAAUCCACAAACGAAUGUUAGGCUAAGAAGCACUCUCUGCGUAGGGUUUUUUGGUGGCUGUCUCGAGAAAUUUAGCCUCGGUCCUGGUGCCCUGUUGCGUCAGGACAGGAGAGGCAGGCUCUCCAUAAAAAAAUGGAACCCAAGGUCAGAGAUCUCAACAUGGAGAGAGGGGUAAUAGUGUAAUAAUGGGAAUUGAUAAAGGGUUGGAAUGGAAAAGAGAAAGAGGAAAGAGGUUGCUUGCGCAAAUCUAGCUAAUCUAGGCAUCCUUUGCAAGUAAAGCUUUGUGUUUUAAGGCGAAAGAAUUGAAUUGAAGAACCCAAAACCGUACAAAACAACACACCAUUCUCUUUCUCUCGUUUCCCACAAUUUAAUUAACUUGGCCUCAUUAUGUUUAGACAGAACACUCACAAGGCAAAGAGCCCUAGAAAAAUCUCUGCCCUCAGGCCUCAGCACCUUCUUUAUUAUUGUCAUUUCUCCUUCUUUUUAUUAUUACUGCUAUCUUUCUAAGAUAGGACAAGGAAACCCAUCUCUGAGGAAAGCAGAAAGAAGAAAGAAGAAAGAAGA